rnacentral:rRNA from 1 species
AUUGAACGCUGGCGGCAUGCUUUACACAUGCAAGUCGAACGGUAACAGGCCGCAAGGUGCUGACGAGUGGCGAACGGGUGAGUAAUGCAUCGGAACGUGCCCAGUCGUGGGGGAUAACGCAGCGAAAGCUGCGCUAAUACCGCAUACGAUCUAUGGAUGAGAGCGGGGGACCGUAAGGCCUCGCGCGAUUGGAGCGGCCGAUGUCAGAUUAGGUAGUUGGUGGGGUAAAGGCUCACCAAGCCGACGAUCUGUAGCUGGUCUGAGAGGACGACCAGCCACACUGGGACUGGGACACGGCCCAGACUCCUACGGGAGGCAGCAGUGGGGAAUUUUGGACAAUGGGCGCAAGCCUGAUCCAGCAAUGCCGCGUGCAGGAAGAAGGCCUUCGGGUUGUAAACUGCUUUUGUACGGAACGAAAAGGCUCUGGUUAAUACCUGGGGCUCAUGACGGUACCGUAAGAAUAAGCACCGGCUAACUACGUGCCAGCCGCCGCCGUAACAC